AUGGCUAUAUCACGUUGAAACACCGGUUCUCGUACGAUCACCUAAGUUAAACAACAUCGAGCCUGGUUAGUAAAUAGAUGGGUGACUACUUGGGAAUACCAAGUGCUA